AGCCCUAGCUGCUGUUCCCCAUUCGAUGCCCCUUUUCAGCCGACCUUGCCAGGGGCAGUCCAUGAAAGUUGAAUAUGAUCUCCUUGAAACUUAGCCUCGAGGUCUACAAUUUUACCAGGUGAGAACACCUGAGAAUGAUUACCAUUAGGAGGCACUCCUGAUACAGUAAACGACCCUCCAGAGAAAUUGAUUAAGAAAACUUAGAGAACAUAAAAUAAUAGACCUACCUCUGCAAUACCUGGUAUUCGAAGACGGGCAGACCGAAUAUUUAGUUCACCUUCUUGAAAAUCUGAGCCAACUGGACUCCAAGUGCCACGAGAACAGAGAUUGGGUCUGGUCCCCAGCUUCAGUGCCUCCAAGGCAGAAACUCAAGAGACGUUGUUGAACUGUCAGCCUUUACAUUUAUGCAUUACUAUUGAAGGCCUGGAAUAAAUGGAUCGUGUUUUACCUGUUAUCUUGCUCAUCUCUAUUACUGCUUCAUCAGCAGCUCUUCCCAAAGCAAUAAAAUGAACAAUGGCCCCA
ensembl:lncRNA CLCA4-AS1 CLCA4 antisense RNA 1